CUAUAAAUAUCCGCCGUACGGAACGCGCGAUUUCACUCGCUUCGCUCGCCACUCUCCGCUCCACCCAGGAGCAGGAAGUCUCCAAAUCAUCGCCGCCGACCAACGUCUCCGUGUCGGCGCCGCCGACCACCACCCCUGUGCCCACACCAUGACUCUGUGCACUGUGAGAUGAUGACGAGCAUGCGGGUUGGAUAGCUGCACGUCAUUUAUACAAUCAUAUUUAUCUUUUGGUUUACCUGUUGUGAUAUCUUUUUGGUGAUUCUUUGGACGCUUUUGUUGUAUGGUUGACAUGUUAUGGUACUUUUGUAUGAUUGAGGUUUGUCCCUUGUUUGUUAUGAUUUAUAUGUUGAUAGUGUGUUAAUAUAUAAAUUAUUAUUUAUCUCUA